CAAGAGUGGGGGCAGGAGGCGGGGUUAUAGGUAGGGGGGAAGCGUUGUCCGGAUGUAUUGGGCGUAAAGAGCUCGUAGGCGGUUUAGUAAGUCGGAUGUGAAAUCUCCAGGCUCAACUUGGAGGGGUCAUUCGAUACUGCCAUGACUAGAGUUCGGUAGGGGAGUGUGGAAUACCUGGUGGAGCGGUGAAAUGCGCAGAUAUCAGGUGGAACACCCGUAGCGAAGGCGGCACUCUGGGCCGGAACUGACGCUGAGGAGCGAAAGCGUGGGGAGCGAACAGGAUUAGAUACCCCGGUAGUC
rnacentral:rRNA from 1 species